rnacentral:rRNA from 1 species
GACGAACGCUGGCGGCGUGCUUAACACAUGCAAGUCGAACGGAAAGGCCUCUUUCGGGGGGUACUCGAGUGGCGAACGGGUGAGUAACACGUGAGUAACCUGCCCUUGACUUUGGGAUAACUUCAGGAAACUGGGGCUAAUACCGGAUAGGAGCUCCUGCUGCAUGGUGGGGGUUGGAAAGUUUCGGCGGUUGGGGAUGGACUCGCGGCUUAUCAGCUUGUUGGUGGGGUAGUGGCUUACCAAGGCUUUGACGGGUAGCCGGCCUGAGAGGGUGACCGGCCACAUUGGGACUGAGAUACGGCCCAGACUCCUACGGGAGGAAGCAGUGGGGAAUAUUGCACAAUGGGUGGAAGCCUGAUGCAGCAACGCCGUGUGCGGGAUGACGGCC